rnacentral:pre_miRNA from 2 species
AGGAAGAACAAACUGAUCCCACAUUAAUGAUGCUCUGUGAGACAGUGUGUCCUCCCUCA